UCUUAAUAACAAUCGUAGGGAUUAAUGAGUGUUGUUUAAACAUUAACAAAAAAAAGAAUAAAACGAGGAAGAAAAAAAUUAUUCCGUAGACGGUUUCUUUUUAACUGUCUGCUGUCGUCUGUGUGUUAAAGUUGUUCUUGUGUGCGUGCGGCUGGUUCUAAUGUGGGUCAGUGGAGUAACGUCGUUCUGUUAUAACUAUUGCUUUCACGAUCGCGCCUCAGCUGCCCGUCUUUCCGUUCUUUCUUCGUUCCGUUCAUUCGCGUGUCUUCUACAUUAACAACUUUACUAUUUAGGAGGAACGAGAAUUAUCAUCCGACGCAUCUUCUUUUUCACGGACAAAGAGGACGAAGAGAGGAGUGAGAAAUAACGAAGAAGAAGGAGAUUAACACAGUCUCGCAUAACGGACCACCCUUUAUAUAGUAAAUACUCUGUUAAAUGCGGCGAAAUUGCGAUGAGACCGUGUGAAAUCCUCAUCCUCAACCUCUGGGGGCCACUGGGACGCUAAACUUCACCUUACAGCCUCUUCACAAUGAACACGAUGAGAACCGAAUCGUUCAAAAAGAUUCAAAUCACGAAUUUUAAAUGUCAAAUUUAUAAAUGACGUUUUAAACGUCAAAUUUUUUUUUUGAUGAAGAGAUUUAAUAGGGAAUGCAUAGAAAGUAUCUUAAGAAUAUAAAUAAGCUCAUUUGCAUGUGGAUAAUCUCUCUAAUAAUUUAAGGAUCGUUCGAACGUCGGUCGUCGUCUAGCCUCGAUGGUAAAGAGGUUUCUACUGUCAAGUUCUUCCUCAACAUUGGCCGCGGCAGCGUCGAUUUGGCUCGUUGGCUAAGGAAAAAGUUCGAACCAAUGUAGGCUACUCGCAAAGAUGGGUUGGUGUUGGUAACCCAAAGACUUAAAAAGCCGUUUCAAACUCAUUCGACGAGGCUCUCAACA